GAAAGACCUCUUUCAGCAAGUACAAAAUAAAAAAGUCUCAGGUGAGAGCAGAGUUUGGGAAGGGGUGAUGGAUGUGGAGUUCCAGAGAAUGCCGAGGAAUGGAAUUAGCGAGGAGAGGAAGGAGUGACUGGAGGUACAACUGGGAAUUAUAAAUUGGGUCCUCCUCGAUGCCGGUCAAGAGAUUUGACUCCAGGAUGUAAUUAGUCUUCAAUUAUUUAUUCCCUGUUUUCAUCAGUGUUUCUUCCCCCGUGACCCAGCUCCAGGUCAGAACCAGGGGGUCGAGGAUUCUACAGGGUCGCCCUGGGCAAGUGGCUUUUAUUUCAUAUGGAUUAAUUUAUAUCAGCCUCUUUGCAAAAAAAAAAAAAAAAGGACCUGAGGUGAAGCAAGCAUGUUUAAUCUCUCUGAGUCUCAUUUUCUUCAUCUGACAAAUUGGGCUCCUGAGGCCAAGGGUCCAGGCGUCCAGGCGACCAGGUGUGAGCUGCGAAGAUGAGAUGAGAACGCGGGCGAAGCGCCAGCACGGCGCCUGGGACCGAGCGCAGCUCCCGCGCUGCGGUUCCCUCCCCAUAAACACUUAGUGGAAACGUCGUCCAGGGGAAGAAGCGCCUGAGAGCGCAGGCCCUCCCCAGCGCAGGCUGUUACUGCUGGCUUUCUUGUUCCUUGAAAGUGCUUUCAGACAUGAAGUUGACAAAGGAAAUUAACAACAGCGUGUUCAAGAAGCUGCAGCGCCAGGUCCUUGCUGACGCUGCCCCAGUGGGCCCUGCACAGCCAGCCUGUCACGCUAAUAGGUGCCCGGCCCCCAGAACAGAGACAUCAUCUAAUAAAAUGUGAAGCAGAUUCUGCACAGCCCUUACCCAGAAGGAUUGCAGGGCACAGGAAGAAGCACACCUCUUGGCUUGUUAAGCUGCCGUCAGUCAGCCAGAGGGCCCUGCGCUGGGCUGAGGUUGAGAGUUCCGCGCAAGAUUCGGGCCCUGCCAAGUCACGUGUCCACCUCCCACCACACCCCCAGGGUCCUGGGCCUCCAAGGGGCCCAGAAGUGCUGGCUCCAGCUCCCCCGGAGAGGCUUCAGAGAGCAUUACCAGGAUCGUUCCAAUGAGACGAAAGACACGAGGCUGAAAAGAAAAGGCACCUCACACAGAAACUUCCCUCGGCUCCUAAGAUCCUUCCGCAAAAGGCUGCAUGUGCAGGUGGGACUUCUCCUCCUUCGUUGCUGGAUGGAAAUGAGCGCUGCGCGGCUCAGUGAUGCAAUUCAGCCACGGCUGCAGGCCAGGCCUGACUGUGGGACCGCGGCCCAGUCCUCACCCUCAGUGCCUCAGAUCUGGAAAGACACCCCCCGCACCCCCCUCUAAGGCCAGCCUUGAAGAUCAACAGGACAGGUGUUCUAAAAGCCCCCAUCUCUUCUGAGCCACAUCUGCAAAGAGGAAUGAAAACAGCUGGAGUUACAGACGGUCCUCAGCCAGUCGUGGGGAAGCAGCAUGGGAGUGGGAGCAUGGCCCUCAGAGCCUGAUCUCUGUGGCUGGACCUUCAGGGAAGGGAACAGGGAACGUGGGCACCAGCAGUGCUGGGGGUGAACUCCCGGCCCCUGCUGAGUGGGCUUUGUUCUCUCCAGGGGGUGCUGAGCAAGUCAGAGAUCCCCCUUUUCACUCCCUCCCUCGGCAAAGCAGAUGUCCUGGGCCCUCCCCCCCACAACUGGUUCAAAGCCAGGUAGGCCUGGUGUAGGGCAACCUACAGGACCCUCGUGACAGUCACUGGCCUUGAGGCAAAGAAGAGUAAAGAAAAAAGAACAACGAUCCUACCACCUGCUAACGACUAGAAAUGAGCGCACUAAGAACGGGGUGAGAACCUAAAGCCUAUGGAAAGACACAAAGGAAGGCUGGGACCAACGGAGGAUUGUGCCAUGUUUUUGGAUGGGAAGACUCAUAAUAAUAAGAUAUCAAUUCUCCAAAAUUUAAUCUAUAAAUUUGACGCAAUCCAUUAAAAAUACCAAAAAUUACUAAUCUUCUUUUUUACCAAACAAGCUGAUAAUAAUGUUUAUAUGAAAAAAAAUGAACAAGAAGAUCUAGGAAAAUGCUGAAAAAGAAAAGCAAAGAUGGGAGACUAGGCUUAUCAGAUAUUAAAACUUUAAUAAUUAUUGUCAAUUUUACUAUUGUAUUAUAAAUUAUAUAAAUAAAGUGCUAAUUUACUGUAAAAUAUUAUAAUAUUAUUGUAAAACUUUAAUAAUUAAAACAACUUGAACAGACAGACCAGUGGAACAGGGAAGAAAUUUUUAAAUGGGCCCCAAAACAUGGGAAUUUUGUAUAUAACGAAAGAGACCCUCAAAUGGAUGGGAGAGAAGAUGAAUUAUUCAAUAAAUGGAGGUGGGAAAACUAGGUUCCACCCGGAAUUGGAGUCAUGCCUCACACCCCACAGCAGCACGGAUCAUGAUAACUUCCAAAUAAAUGAAAUAGUUAAAUGUUUAAAUAAAAGAAAGUAAAAGAGAAGGAACCAUAAAAUUACAUGUCCUGGGCCC
rnacentral:lncRNA from 1 species